rnacentral:misc_RNA from 1 species
GCGGAUCCCGACUUUGGCGAUCACGAGAGGCUUCUUGUCUAGCACUUUCAGAUGUAAUUCAAGGACGUAAAUUUGAUCAGGUUGAGAAGCACUUAAAAAGAAUAUGGACUACUGCUUACCGUGCGAUGGAUGACAUAAAGGAGUCUGUACGAAAUUCGGGUGACAGAUUAUGCCGGGCUAUUACUAAUCUAACAUUGAGAUUAUGUGAUGUUUCUCUCACACAAGUUUCAGAGGCAACAAAAACAAUGGAGAUUGUGUUGCCGUUACUGCUAUCUGAAGGCAUAAUGAGUAAAGUUGAAAGCAUUCGCAAGGCAUCCAUUGGAGUGGUUACAAAACUCACAAAGGGUGCGGGUGUUGCACUUCGGCCACAUCUACCUGACCUAGUCUGCUGCAUGCUUGAGAGCUUAUCAAGCCUGGAAGACCAAGGGUUAAAUUAUGUUGAGUUGCACGCAGCAAAUGUUGGUAUACAAACUGAAAAGUUUGAAAACCUCCGUAUAUCAAUAGCAAAGGGCUCACCAAUGUGGGAAACUCUUGAUCGUUGCAUUGAUGUUGUUGAUUCCCAGUCAGUGGAGUUAUUA